ensembl:lncRNA
GCCAUUUCCUUCUCCAGUUCAUGAAAGUGAAAAGUGAAAGUGAAGUUGCUGCCAAAACUCUUUCCAGAUAGGCUGUAAAAAUGUAUAUUCCCUCUAGCAAUAUAAAAGCAUAUAUUUUUCCAUACCCAAACAAUAUUAAAUAUAGUAAUUUAAAAAAUGCUUGCCAAAUACUUGCUUGCUUGAUAGGAAAAAAAACAUUUAAAAAUGUGCAUUCCAUGGAACAUUUGUUUCUUCUUUAAUAAAUCUACUCGCUCUCUUAGUCCUUUUCCUAUUGGGGUUUUCAUCAUUUCUUUCUUUGAUAAGCGGUCUUUUAUGCUAAGGACAUUGGUCCCUUUUUACAAAAGUUCUAUUAUUUUUUGCCGGUUUGUCAUCUUAACCUUUGUCUUUGGUAAACCUUAUUUUUGAAAAUAAAUAGAAUUGCUAUUUUACAAAACUAUAUAGUUACUUUAUAGUUAGAAUGUUCACACUUUUUUAUGCAUAUGUAUUUUUUCACUGUGUGAAAGAGUUUUAUUUUCAAGAUAUAUUUCUGGAAUCACAGACCUAGGAAUGAGUUAAUCACACAGUCCCUGGGGUCAUGUCUGAGGCUAAGAGAGGCUGUUCAUUUACCUUAACUGCACUCAUCCAACUCAGCUUUUGCCUCUCUGCUUUUCUUGGUGUUUGUGUCAAGCACAUUCUCAGAUCUUCCGUAUAAAAUUUACUGAGUUUCAGAUUUUUGUAUAGUGAAGUUUAUUUAAUUGAGAUGACUAUUCUAAAUAAGGCUAAUAAUAUCAUAUAUUCUGACAUACAUCAUGGUAUGCUAAACUCUCACCUGUAUCAUUCAUUCAUUCGAAUUCAGUUUAGAUGUAUUUUUGAGGAUAUGUUAUUUGAUUAUAGCCUGAAGUUUCAGAGCAAUAAGUAACUCCAAGAACAGAAUACUUUUAAGUUGAUAUGUUGGGCCAAAACUACAGGUUUAUGACUCACUUUUCUCCCUAAAUAGCAUCCUUACAUUUGUUUUUGAAGAAUAAAUACAGCGACAAAACACAAAGGUACAUAUAACAAAAAGUGAUUCUCCCUUGUUUCCCAGCCACCCAGACUCUUAUCCUGAGAUAAUAAUUGGUCCAAUCCCUUAUGUAUCCAUCUAUGUGUUUUAAUGAACACAUACAUACCUAUUAAUUUUUUUCACAUUAAUAAUAUUCUAUAUACACACCACUUCAUGUUUUGCAUUUAUCACUUAAAAAUAUAAAUCCCAUCUCAACUGCUUGUAAGCUUGUGUUUGGAGGCAAGUCAACCUCUCUGAAGCUUGGUUUCUGCAUUGGAAAACAGGACUGAAAAUGAUUAUCCAGUAAGUUCAUUUUAGGGGAAAAAAUGAGACAAUGCAUUUUAAACAUGAAGCACAUUUCUUUAGUACAUUUUAAGUGUAUAGUACAUUCUAACCAUUCAUUUAGCAUAUUUCCUGAUAAUGUUCUAAGUACACAAAAGCUCUAAUGAUUAUUAAGAAUGAUUUUUAUCAACUUUCUUACCAAUUUAUUGUGCACACCUAAUGUUGUUAAAAAAGGAUAAGAAAUUUGAUUACUUCAUAAUAGAUAAACUUUGAGUUUGUCUACACACAGAAACUUUUCCUCUCUACGGUAUUUUAUUUAUUUACUUAUUUAUUUAUUUAAGGUAAAAGAUAUGUAUGUUUGUAAUUUUGUAGAAGAUUCCUAACUUGCUUUUCUUAGGAGCUGUACUUUUUUUUUUUUAACUUUUCAUUUUAUAUUGAAGUAUAGUUGAUUAAUAAUGUUUUGCUAGUUUCAUGUGUACAACAAAGUAAUUCAGUUAUACAUAUACCUGUAUCUCUUUUCUUUCAAAUUAUUUUCCCAUUUUGGUUGUUAUAUAACAUUGAGCAGAGUUCCCUGUGGAUCCUUGUUGGUUAUCCAUUUUAAAUUUAGCAGUGUGUACAUGUCAAUCCCAAAGUCCCUAAAUACCCCUCCUCUCCUCUUUCCCCUUGGUAAUCAUAAAUUUAUUCUCUUGUCUGUGAGUCUCUACUUUCAGGAUAUUUUAAAGAUUAAAACUGAACUAUGAUCACUGUAAAACCAAAAUGACACUGCUUCCUAUCAACAGAUGACAAUAUCUGUCACACAGUCAUCUGGUCCCCGCCCAACCUAAGGCUCAGUUUAUGGAGUGUACGUAGAAUAUGUGCAUUGAUUUUCAGAUGUGAUAAAAACUAGUAAAUCAAUCAGGGUUGUUAAAUGAAAAUAUACUGAGAAUUUAAAAUAUCUGACAACCCAAAAUUGGAAUUUGAUGAAAACCAAAUGGAAAUAAUAAAAUAAGUUAAAGUCUAUGGAAAUAAGGAAUGUGGCAACUUCAUAGAAGAUUAAUCAACUGACAGUAGAAAUGAUUCUUUAGGACUGAGCAGGAUCAUGCAAUGGGUUAAAAAUGCUGAGGGUAGGCAACAGUCAGUCUGAUACAGAGAAACAUUAUUUACAAAAAACAAAAAGGGAAAAAUUUCUCAUAGGGGGUCAGAGGAUUAUUUUUUAUUAGUAGUAGAUGCUCCAGAACUUAAAGCUAAAGCAUGAGAAGACUAGACAUUCAUUCAAGGUAAAAUCCAAGCAGUGACAGUUGCUGAUGAAAUAUUCCUUGCAGACCAGGAAUGGUCAAUAGACUCAAAGCCCUUUAACUCAAUAUCAGAACAAGUGAAUUAAGCAGCACACAUACCAAGAGAUUCUUGGGAAUAUCUGCAGGCAUUAUCAAGAAAAGUUGUUGUCAACUUAUACGGCUUUUGGUGUAU